rnacentral:pre_miRNA from 1 species
UUGUGUGAAAACAAUGUGGGACCUACACUUUGAAAAUGAACCCACAUAAAGUGGUGGGACAUUCAUUGAUUUCACCCAA